rnacentral:rRNA from 1 species
GACGAACGCUGGCGGCGUGCUUAACACAUGCAAGUCGAACGAAGCUUGAUUACGGAUUCUUCGGAUGAAGUAUGAUAUGACUGAGUGGCGGACGGGUGAGUAACGCGUGAGUAACCUGCCCUUCAGAGGGGGAUAGCGUUUGGAAACGAACGGUAAUACCGCAUAAUGUAUUUUGACCGCAUGAUCGAAAUACCAAAGAUUUAUCGCUGAAGGAUGGACUCGCGGCUGAUUAGGUAGUUGGUGGGGUAACGGCCUACCAAGCCGACGAUCAGUAGCCGGACUGAGAGGUUGAUCGGCCACAUUGGGACUGAGACACGGCCCAGACUCCUACGGGAGGCAGCAGUGGGGAAUAUUGCACAAUGGGCGCAAGCCUGAUGCAGCAACGCCGCGUGAAGGAAGACGGUUUUCGGAUUGUAAACUUCUGUUCUUAGUGAAGAAUAAUGACGGUAGCUAAGGAGCAAGCCACGGCUAACUACGUG